UACAAAGUACAAAGUAUAGUGACUCUACAAUGCUAAUUAGCAAGAAAAUACUUCUAUCUUUCCUCCUCAUUUUCAUGGUGGUGGCACCAACAUCGGCUAAGACGAGGGCGAUCACAUGUGAUAUCGUACAUAAUAUCAUGCAUCCAUACUGUCAUGGAUAUGCAUUGUUAGGUGGAAGUUUUCCAUCAGAAUGUUGUAACGAGGUUAAAUCUCUUAUUUCUAACGUAACAAAUAUUGCAAAUCGUCAAAGCGCUUGCUCGUGCAUGAAGCUUUUAGCUUACACAAAAGAACAAGUAAAACGUCUAGCUAGUAUCCCUGGGAAAUGUGGUGCCAACCUUCCUUUCAAAAUUGGCAAGGAUGUUGAUUGCUCAAAGGUCAUCACAGGAGAAAGAUAAUAACAUGACCCCUCAACGGACUUCUAAUGUCGAAUCAAGAGCAACUAGGACAACAAUAAAGCGUUGGAUCAAGUUAUUCUUUGGUGGCAAGGUAAUAGCUAUGAGUAGUCAUCAACUUUUAGAAAAGCGUAGCAAAAUGAAACCUAUUAUUGGACAUUAUAAUUGUAUGAUCAUUACACUUUAACAAAGUUAUUCAGUUCCGCCUCUUAGUAA